AGCGUAGGUGGCCUAACAUGUCAAACUGUGAAAACCCGGAGCUCAACUCCGGACUUGCAGUUGAAACUGGUAGGCUUGAGGACGGUAGAGGAAGACGGAACUGCCAGUGUAGGGGUAAAAUCCUUAGAUAUUGGCAGGAACGCCGGUGACGAAGGUGGUUUUCUGGGCCGGUUCUGACACUGAUGCUCGAAAGCCAGGGGAGCGAACG
rnacentral:rRNA from 1 species